GAACGCACCUUGCGCCCUUUGGCCAUUCCGAAGGGCAUGCCUGUUUGAGUAUCAUGAACACCUCAACUCUCAUGGUUCGCCAUGAUGAGCUUGGACUUUGGGGGCCUUGCCGGCUUGACUGUCGGCUCCUCUCAAAUGAAUCAGCUUGCCAGUGUUUGGUGGCAUCACAGGUGUGAUAACUAUCUACGCUUGUGACCGUUCACCAGGUAACCUUCAGCGAUGGAGGUUCGCUGGAGCUCACAGACGUCUCUCCCCAGGGAGGACAGCUUCUAAAUGUUUGAUCUCAAAUCAGGUAGGACUACCCGCUGAACUUA
rnacentral:misc_RNA from 1 species